rnacentral:rRNA from 1 species
UACGGGAGGCAGCAGUGGGGAAUAUUGCACAAUGGGCGCAAGCCUGAUGCAGCCAUGCCGCGUGUAUGAAGAAGGCCUUCGGGUUGUAAAGCUCUUUUAGUGAGAAAGAUAAUGACGGUACUCACAGAAGAAGUCCUGGCUAACUCCGUGCCAGCAGCCGCGGUAAUACGGAGAGGGCUAGCGUUAUUCGGAAUUAUUGGGCGUAAAGAGCGCGUAGGCUGAUUAGUAAGUUAAAGUGAAUCCCAAAGCUUAACUUUGGAAUUGCUUUUAAAACUGCUAGUCUAGAGAUUGAAAGAGGAUAGAGGAAUUCCUAGUGUAGAGGUGAAAUUCGUAAAUAUUAGGAGGAACACCAGUGGCGAAGGCGUCUAUCUGGUUCAAAUCUGACGCUGAGGCGCGAAGGCGUGGGGAGCAAACAGGGAUUAGAUACC